rnacentral:lncRNA from 1 species
AUGCUAACUCUGCCAAGCAAACUGCAGUUGGAUAAUGGUCUUAAAGGGUCUCAUACAUCAGUUCUACUCAGAGGAUUUCUGAGACAAGCUGCAGAAACUACAGAACAUGAAGCUAAUUUAGGCUAUAUAUAAAAAGUGCAUUUUCUAAUCUAAACAAUUUUCAUGACUUAGCUGACACUCCAGGUAAGAGUUACUACCAGAAUGGAAAAUUAGUUUGCACCUGAAAUUCCUAAUGUUUACAACAUGGUGCCUCCCAAAGUGAAAUGCUUGACCGGAAUCUGGUACCUCAUGAUCACAGGGACAGGUGAAAUAUAGCUAUAUCCACUGAAGGCACUUUCAACCAGUGACACUGGCUGGGCUUUCACCAGAAUGUUAAAGGAUGUUGUUUGGGAAUUAAAUUCCUUAUUAUAUUUUGAACUUUGAUGGUCCAUCCAUUACAUAUUGAAGCUGCAGAACAUCAUUUGUGAAACAAGGAGUUUCCACAGUAAGUAGAAUGCUACUAUAUUAAAUGUUGUACCAGAUGA